rnacentral:ncRNA from 1 species
AAACGGAAAUUCAAAUUAGGAUGGAUUCUUGUUUAUUCUGUCUUCUAAAUCCUACCAAAAUUCCAUGUCCUCCGAAUCGAGCUCUUACUUUGCCAAAGUGUAUCUUGGAGAUACCUGAAAAUGGGAAAUGCCAACUAGGAGGGUAGCCGACAGCUAUGACCGGCAAUAUUAUAGGGAAAAACAUUUCUUUAUGGAUCUGCACACCUUUUAGAUGCCAAGAGGUAAUGAUUAAUAGAAGCAGUUGGAGGCAUUAGUAUUACAAGGCGAGUGCUGAAAUUCGUAAAACCUCGUAAAACUGACUUAAGCGAAAGUAUUUGCCAAGGAUGUUUUCAUUAAUCAAGAACGAAAGUUAGAGGAUCGAAGGCGAUCAAAGACCGCCCUAGCUCUAACCAUAAACGAUGCCAACUAGC